GAUGAACGCUGGCGGCGUGCCUAAUACAUGCAAGUCGAGCGAACGGACGAGAGGCUUGCUUCUCUGAUAUUAGCGGCGGACGGGUGAGUAACACGUGGAUAACCUACCUAUAAGACUGGGAUAACUUCGGGAAACCGGAGCUAAUACCGGAUAAUAUUUUGAACCGCAUGGUUCAAAAGUGAAAGACGGUCUUGCUGUCACUUAUAGAUGGAUCCGCGCUGCAUUAGCUAGUUGGUAAGGUAACGGCUUACCAAGGCAACGAUGCAUAGCCGACCUGAGAGGGUGAUCGGCCACACUGGAACUGAGACACGGUCCAGACUCCUACGGGAGGCAGCAGUAGGGAAUCUUCCGCAAUGGGCGAAAGCCUGACGGAGCAACGCCGCGUGAGUGAUGAAGGUCUUCGGAUCGUAAAACUCUGUUAUUAGGGAAGAACAUAUGUGUAAGUAACUGUGCACAUCUUGACGGUACCUAAUCAGAAAGCCACGGCUAACUACGUG
rnacentral:rRNA from 1 species